rnacentral:lncRNA from 1 species
CACAACUUGAAUCUACUGGUCAGAGGACUCCAGAAAGUAUUCCUAUCAAUCAACAGCUUGAGCUUCCCAGCCUGAAGAAGAUUCCUGAUCAACUACAGACUGUCAACUGCUCCAAAACCACAUGCCAACCCCUGAUCAUCCUUCAGAACCAGCAACUUGAUGAAAGCCAGUAAAACUGAAAUGCUUUUGGUGAAUUUCCACCAGCCUGAGCCUCUCUUUGGACCAGAAUUCCAGACUUCUCCAAAGUGGUCUGCACUUUGCUAGUCCCAGCAGGGCCUCCUGGGAUGGUGUCCUGCUGGGCACAGGGCUGUUUCCAGUUGGUGGUAAGAAAGGAUCUCAGAGCUUUAUCUGUGUUCCAACUGCUGUCCCUAUCUGCUACUGACCCAAGGAGAGCCAUCCAUUCACCCAGCAGUCCAGCCACCAGUGCCCUAUGCUGAUGGUAAGAGCAGGGAGCACUAGAAAUGAAUGCGAGCAGAAUGCAACUGGAGAUGGCUUUAAAUAAUGCAGAGCCAUUUUCUCUGUUGCACCCGGAGAGCUGAGGUCUACAUGCAAGGGAGAAGAAGCAUGGUCCUCAGGCAGUGGAUCUGCUAGUGCUCUGGUGAGACACAUGAAUCCCCUCUAAUGCUAUGGAUGACAGCCAUGAUGGGAUGUGGCAAUUGACAACAUCCCAGAGUAGGCAUCUGGGUGAUGAAGCUUAAGGUCAUCUGAAGAAUCCUGGCCCUCUUGCCUCUAGUCACGGUGGCUGGAGGGAGUAGCUAUUAGCUCCGCAGUCUGUGUAUACCCAGCUGUAUCAAGCACUACUCUGAUCCAGGACUUCGCAAAGUCAACAGGUCUACUGGACAACAUGAACAACACCCUCCAUUCCAACUUUCACAUCUGAAAGAGGUGGAAAGGAACUGAGGGCUGAGCAGCCGGAACCCGCCUCUGUAUGUUUGCCAUCAGGGUCUGAGGCAGAGUUCUGUGGAGGAGCUCUGUAUUCCCUUUCUGCCCCACUCUCCUCCAAUGCCUCACUGGGUCAAGCCAAGGAAUUUUAGGUGGGAGAGCCACACAGCACAGGGCAUCCAGAAUGUGGGAGCAGCUACAGAGAGCCCAUCAGAGGACCCUGGAAGGUUCAGGGACUUAUGCACAACCUCUGACCAAAUGCAAGCUAAACAAAAUUGCUCUGUCCCAGAGUAAACCUAGGGCAACUCAAGGAAGCCAGGUGCAAAGAGUCACUCUUGGUUGCCUGGGAACACCUUUUCAUGAAGGACAACCAGGAGCUGUUAAUCCUGGCAGAAGACAGGGAAUGACCACAAACUCACACACCACGUAGGCAGGAUCUAGGCUAUACUCAAGGGCCCUGUGUUAAAUAGAAAAUGGAAUUGGCUGAGAGUGUAUGCUAUUUGGAGCUGGCAGUAGUCCUGCAAUCCUAGCUACUCAGUGGGCAACUUAUUGGACAAUUUAGUGAGAUCAAUAAAAAGGAAGAAAAUGGGGUUGGGAAUAUAGCUUAGUGUCUGUGAGGUUCUAGGUUCAAUUCCCAGUGCUGAGAAGGAAGGGAAGGAGGGAAAGAGCAGAAAGACCAAGCUUGGCUUGGCUUGGCGUGGGUUACUUGGCACUUUUGGCCUCUGGCCCAUUUUAUCCUGCUAUGCAUCUUCUGAUGUAUGCAGUGCAUGUGAGAUCCAUUUAUUCCACUAGUUACUGAGCACUGUCUGGACACUGCACACUGUUCUAGGCUCUAGGGGUACAACACCGAACAAGAUAAACAGGAUCUUCACCUUGGCCUUCAUGUUCUGGUUAAGAGAAGCAGAUAUUAAACAAG